rnacentral:rRNA from 1 species
GAUGAACGCUAGCUACAGGCUUAACACAUGCGAGUCGCGGGGCAGCAUGGGGGUUGCUUGCAAUCCCCGAUGGCGACCGGCGCACGGGUGAGUAACGCGUAUCCAACCUGCCCUUCACCACGGGAUAACCCGGCGAAAGUCGGACUAAUACCGUAUGUUGUCCAUUGACGGCAUCCGAUUUGGACGAAAGGCUUGGCGGUGAGGGAUGGGGAUGCGUCCGAUUAGCCAGACGGCGGGGUAACGGCCCACCGCGGCUACGAUGGGUAGGGGUUCUGAGAGGAAGGUCCCCCACACUGGAACUGAGACACGGGCCAGACUCCUACGGGAGGCAGCAGUGAGGAAUAUUGGUCAAUGGGCGUAAGCCUGAACCAGCCAAGUAGCGUGCAGGAUGACGGCCCUAUGGGUUGUAAACUGCUUUUAUGCGGGGAUAAAGUGGCCCACGUGUGGGCUUUUGCAGGUACCGCAUGAAUAAGGACCGGCUAAUUCCGU